CAGAAGGGGAUAACACUUGGAAACAGGUGCUAAUACCGUAUAACACUAUUUUCCGCAUGGAAGAAAGUUGAAAGGCGCUUUUGCGUCACUGAUGGAUGGACCCGCGGUGCAUUAGCUAGUUGGUGAGGUAACGGCUCACCAAGGCCACGAUGCAUAGCCGACCUGAGAGGGUGAUCGGCCACACUGGGACUGAGACACGGCCCAGACUCCUACGGGAGGCAGCAGUAGGGAAUCUUCGGCAAUGGACGAAAGUCUGACCGAGCAACGCCGCGUGAGUGAAGAAGGUUUUCGGAUCGUAAAACUCUGUUGUUAGAGAAGAACAAGGAUGAGAGUAAAAUGUUCAUCCCUUGACGGUAUCUAACCAGAAAGCCACGGCUAACUACGUGCCAGCAGCCGCGGUAAUACGUAGGUGGCAAGCGUUGUCCAGAUUUAUUGGGCGUAAAGCGAGCGCAGGCGGUUUCUUAAGUCUGAUGUGAAAGCCCCCGGCUCAACCGGGGAGGGUCAUUGGAAACUGGGAGACUUGAGUGCAGAAGAGGAGAGUGGAAUUCCAUGUGUAGCGGUGAAAUGCGUAGAUAUAUGGAGGAACACCAGUGGCGAAGGCGGCUCUCUGGUCUGUAACUGACGCUGAGGCUCGAAAGCGUGGGGAGCGAACAGGAUUAGAUACCCUGGUAGUCCACGCCGUAAACGAUGAGUGCUAAGUGUUGGAGGGUUUCCGCCCUUCAGUGCUGCAG
rnacentral:rRNA from 1 species